CUUUAUGAAGGAGACAAACAAAAAAGGAGGGAACACAACUAUAAAAGCGGUCAUCACUGAUUAAAAAUAAGUUUAUAAUAUAGAUGCAAAUUUCUUAGAAACCUGUGGCUCAGUGGGUUGAGGGACUGAGUUCAGCUCAGGACAUGAUGGGGGCGGGGCCCGGAACCUGCUUCGAAUUCUGGGUCUCCCUCUCUCUGCCCCUCCCCCACUUGUGCACGAGCACCUGUGCGCUCUUUCUCAAAAAUAAAUGAACUUUAAAAAAAGUUAAACUUAUGAAAGCAUAGGCUGCGCAACACUUAUCAAUACAGAAACCAAUACCGGAGACACAGACUUUGGGUUGAUUUGCUUUGGAAUUCUUACAUUAGAGUGGAAGGCUAAUGAAUUAAUACGAAAAAGACACAUGCACCCCUAUGUUUACGGCAUUAUUUACAACAGCCAAAUGCAGAACCGAUCCAAGUGUCCAUCCACAGAUGAAUGGAUAAAGACGUGGUGCGCGCGCACACACACACACACACACACACACACACACACACACAAUGUGCAAUAUCAGCCAUACAAAAGAAUGAGAUUCUGCCCUUUACGAGCACACGGAGGGACCUAGAGGGCAUUACGCUAAGCGAAGUGAGUCAGACAGAGACAGACAAAUGCUAUAUGAUUUCACGUGCGUGGCAUCUAAAAAGCCUAACAAACCAAACAGAAGCAGACUCAUAAACACAGAGCACAAACCCAUGGCCCGAGAGGGGGGUGAGAUGGGAGAGGAGAUCACAUAGAGAGAGGGGACGAAGAGGUAAAAACUUCCAGUUACACAGUGAAGAAGUCACGGGGAUGAAAAAAUACACCGCGCGGAACAUAGCCAAUAAUAUUGGAGUAACUUCAUACGGUGACAGAUGGCGAUGCCACUUACCUUGGUGAGCACUUCACAAUGUAUUUAUAUGCGGUGUUGAGUCACUGUGUUGUGCGUCCGAAACUACUGCGGUAUGUCAACUACAGUUAAAAAUUCAUUUUAGAAAAUUGACAAGUUUGAAGGUCUAAGGUACAGCAUGGUGGUUACAGCUAAUAACACUGCUCUCGUCCACUUGACUGUUGCUAGGAUAGACCUCAGGUGUCCUCACCAUAAAGAACUUGGUAGCGAUGUGGCCGGAUGGAUGGGGUAGCUAAACGCUAUGGUGGGUCUUGGCCAGCUUCUCCUCUGGUCUGCUGUGCUCCUCCCUGGAUCAGCCUCAGUGAUCUUCAUGGUUCAAAGCCCGUGUCUGUCCACAGCCAGUCCCGCGUCGCAUCCUCCCGGCCCCCCUGCCGGGUCAUCACCUCUAAGACAGCUCUGCCUUUUCAACAAGGAGGAGGGCGUGUUGAUGAGCACGGACGGACAUUCCAAGGACCACAGACGAGAAUCGGGAGGAGGGACCGCCGCCCCAGUCCUCACACGCCCUUGCGGUUUGCUCGUGCCAUUCGCACGUCCGUCCCUUUUCCAUCUUUGUGAGCUUCAAACAGAAGCCAAGUUUUCCCUCCUUCCCUGUGUGUUUCCCCGGAGCGCUUCUCCACGUGGCCAGAGAGGUUCCCUCGCUAUCAUCUGAGUGGCCGAGGCGGUUCCCGUGCUGGCACAGCGUUUCCCUUCUCCAGCACCACUGUCAGAGGAGGACCCCGGGCCGGAGGGUGUGGACGCCAGCUUCAGCCCCUCCACGGCCAGGGCCCCGCGUGAGCCUCUGUGGCGCCAAACUCGGGGCCUCCCUCGGAGGCGAGGCCACCCCGCCGGCCUCCGCACACAGGAGGCCUCUCCCCCGUGUGGUUUGCGAGAGUGGCGGGAAGGGGCUUGAAUCUGGUGCGGCUGCCGGCUGCCCGAUGGGCAGGAGGCGGACGCUGCCCCCACCGGGACGACAUGGGGCGGGGGGCGUCCCCGUGGCAGGCAGGAGUACCAUCCGGGUCCUUCCACCCACCCUGCAAAUGUCACUGCCCCUUGAAUUGCUGGAGUCAGGUUCCCAAGGUGCCUUGGAUGGGGAGCUCCUUUGAGGGGACAGUGUCACUCGGGUUGGCAUAGGACAUACGCUCCUCUGAGGACAGAACGUAGAGGCACGCGCCAAGCACAAGGUGUCCUCCCUACAAGGUGGGUGAGAAACUUUGGACCCGAGCCUUCAGGAGAGGAGGCCCUUGCUCCAUCCAAGAGCGUGGCCGUUGUCACAGCCCCCUCUUCUCUCGGGUCCCCGGCGGGCGGGCGCAGAGCCAGGUGACCCAGCCCAGCCGGCGCUGGGGGGGGGGGGGUUGCGCCACCCCAAGAGUCUCCUUCCUGCCCUCCUCUGUCUCCGUCUGUCUUCAGGCCGCCGCAGGGUCUCAGGUUCUACUGGAUCCCUGUUGUGAUGGCACGGCGCCUCGCAGCCCCCUGGGGACUGAAGCCGGACGGAAGCCCCACAGACACCGGCGGCAGGGUGGGCAGAGGGGCCAGCACUGCCCGCUGACCUGCUGAGACGCUGCGGCACACGGAGCUCUCCCCGAGCCUGGCUCCCCUCAGUCCACAGGGCUGCUCGCAAAUACCCCCGCCCCUCUUCUCAGAGUCCCCAGGACCGAAGCCUCAAGGUCAGGCCGCUUUCUCUCCCCUUGGGUUUCGGGAUCAGGAGCUCUCCUGCCACUCUGCCACCUGCCUCCCCGGCCUCGGAUCCCCUCCCCCAUCCCUCUGUGCCCGACAGGCCAGGGGAGUCCCGAAGCCUCACGUGCACCAUGGCUGGGCUCUCUUUUGAGGGGCGCGGGCCUCCUCGGGGCUCUCCUGCUUGUGCACCGAGGAGCCCAGAGCAGCCCGGGACGCCAUCACUGGGCCAGACCACCCCUGUCUAACGGUAUGUCCCGCAGCGAUGGAGGUGUUCUAGAUGUGUGCUAUCCCACCGGAGCCACCGGAGCAUCUGAAGUGUGAUCAGCGAGCGACCAACCCGUCUGCAUUUGUUAUAACCGCUGAACCAGUGUUGACCCAUCAUCGUCAACCGAAGCCCGUGAUUUACGUCAUGGUUCUACACUCUGUGUUGUGCGGUUGUGAGUGUGGACAAAUCCGUGUCAUUGAUGCACCAUUACGGUAUCAUCCAGACGGAGGAGGUUCACAGCCCUACAAAUCAGUGCUGCCGCGAUUCGCCCUCCCGUGCUCCACCCGCACCCAUAACCACCACUCUGUGUACUGUCACUGUAAUUCUGUCUUUUCCAGAAGGUCAUACGGUUGCCGUCUUUUUAGACCGGCUUCUUCCAACUUCCCAAUUUACAGUGAAGGUACCUCUAUGUCUUUGUGCCUUCGUAGCUCACUUCUUGUAACCGCUGAAUGUCGUCCCACGGUGUCGAUCCAUUCACCUACUGAAAGACAUCUGGGUUGCUUCCAAUCUGGGGCAGUUAUGAAUAAAGCUACUGAAACAUU